rnacentral:rRNA from 1 species
AGAGUUUGAUCCUGGCUCAGGAUGAACGCUGGCGGCGUGCUUAACACAUGCAAGUCGAACGAAGCACUCUAUUUGAUUUUCUUCGGAAAUGAAGAUUUUGUGACUGAGUGGCGGACGGGUGAGUAACGCGUGGGUAACCUGCCUCAUACAGGGGGAUAACAGUUGGAAACGACUGCUAAUACCGCAUAAGCGCACAGGAUUGCAUGAUCCGGUGUGAAAAACUCCGGUGGUAUGGGAUGGACCCGCGUCUGAUUAGCCAGUUGGCAGGGUAACGGCCUACCAAAGCGACGAUCAGUAGCCGACCUGAGAGGGUGACCGGCCACAUUGGGACUGAGACACGGCCCAAACUCCUACGGGAGGCAGCAGUGGGGAAUAUUGCACAAUGGGGGAAACCCUGAUGCAGCGACGCCGCGUGAGCGAAGAAGUAUUUCGGUAUGUAAAGCUCUAUCAGCAGGGAAGAAGAAUGACGGUACCUGACUAAGAAGCACCGGCUAAAUACGUGCCAGCAGCCGCGGUAAUACGUAUGGUGCAAGCGUUAUCCGGAUUUACUGGGUGUAAAGGGAGCGCAGGCGGUGCGGCAAGUCUGAUGUGAAAGCCCGGGGCUCAACCCCGGUACUGCAUUGGAAACUGUCGUACUAGAGUGUCGGAGGGGUAAGUGGAAUUCCUAGUGUAGCGGUGAAAUGCGUAGAUAUUAGGAGGAACACCAGUGGCGAAGGCGGCUUACUGGACAGUAACUGACGUUGAGGCUCGAAAGCGUGGGGAGCAAACAGGAUUAGAUACCCUGGUAGUCCACGCCGU